CCUACGGGCGGCAGCAGUGGGGAAUAUUGGACAAUGGGCGAAAGCCUGAUCCAGCCAUGCCGCGUGUGUGAAGAAGGCCUUCGGGUUGUAAAGCACUUUCAGUGGGGAAGAAAGCCUUGGGGCUAAUACCCUCGAGGAAGGACAUCACCCACAGAAGAAGCACCGGCUAACUCCGUGCCAGCAGCCGCGGUAAUACGGAGGGUGCGAGCGUUAAUCGGAAUUACUGGGCGUAAAGCGCGCGUAGGCGGUCUGAUAAGCCGGUUGUGAAAGCCCCGGGCUCAACCUGGGAACGGCAUCCGGAACUGUCAGGCUAGAGUGCAGGAGAGGAAAGUAGAAUUCCCGGGGUAGCGGGGAAAAGCGGAGAGAUCGGGAGGAAUACCAGUGGCGAAGGCGGCCUUUUGGACUGACACUGACGCUGAGGUGCGAAAGCGUGGGUAGCAAACAGGAUUAGAUACCCGAGUAGUC
rnacentral:rRNA from 1 species